UAGGGAAUCUUCCACAAUGGACGCAAGUCUGAUGGAGCAACGCCGCGUGAGUGAAGAAGGUUUUCGGACCGUAAAGCUCUGUUGUUGGUGAAGAAGGAUAGAGGUAGUAACUGGCCUUUAUUUGACGGUAAUCAACCAGAAAGUCACGGCUAACUACGUGCCAGCAGCCGCGGUAAUCGUAGGUGGCAAGCGUUGUCCGGAUUUAUUGGGCGUAAAGCGAGCGCAGGCGGAAGAAUAAGUCUGAUGUGAAAGCCCUCGGCUUAACCGAGGAAUUGCAUCGGAAACUGUUUUCUUGAGUGCAGAAGAGGAGAGUAGAACUCCAUGUGUAGCGGUGGAAUGCGUAGAUAUAUGGAAGAAUACCAGUGGCGAAGGCGGCUCUCUGGUCUGCAACUGACGCUGAGGCUCGAAAGCAUGGGUAGCGAACAGGAUUAGAUACCCUGGUAGUCCAUGCCGUAAACGAUGAGUGCUAAGUGUUGGGAGGUUUCCGCCUCUCAGUGCUGCAGCUAACGCAUUAAGCACUCCGCCUGGGGGAGUACGACCGCAAGGUUGAAAC
rnacentral:rRNA from 1 species